rnacentral:rRNA from 1 species
CCCGGCGACCGGCGCACGGGUGAGUAACACGUAUGCAAUCUGGCCGCCACAGGGGGAUAACCCGCGGAAACGCGGCCUAAUACCCCGUGACGCCACCGGAGGGCAUCCUCCGGUGGCCAAAGGAGCGAUCCGGUGGCGGAUGGGCAUGCGGCGCAUUAGCUAGACGGCGGGGUGACGGCCCACCGUGGCGACGAUGCGUAGGGGUUCUGAGAGGAAGGCCCCCCACACUGGGACUGAGACACGGCCCAGACUCCUACGGGAGGCAGCAG